rnacentral:rRNA from 1 species
GAAGCGUGGACGCCAGUCUGCGUGGAGCCAACCUUGAAAUACCACCCUUUAAUGUUUGAUGUUCUAACGUUGCCCCAUUAUCUGGGGUGCGGACAGUGUCUGGUGGGUAGUUUGACUGGGGCGGUCUCCUCCCAAAGAGUAACGGAGGAGCACGAAGGUUGGCUAAGCAUGGUCGGACAUCAUGCGGUUAGUGCAAAGGCAUAAGCCAGCUUGACUGCGAGAGUGACGGCUCGAGCAGGUACGAAAGUAGGUCUUAGUGAUCCGGUGGUUCUGAAUGGAAGGGCCAUCGCUCAACGGAUAAAAGGUACUCCGGGGAUAACAGGCUGAUACCGCCCAAGAGUUCAUAUCGACGGCGGUGUUUGGCACCUCGAUGUCGGCUCAUCACAUCCUGGGGCUGAAGUAGGUCCCAAGGGUACGGCUGUUCGCCGUUUAAAGUGGUACGCGAGCUGGGUUUAGAACGUCGUGAGACAGUUCGGUCCCUAUCUGCCGUGGGCGUUGGAAGAUUGAAAGGGGCUGCUCCUAGUACGAGAGGACCGGAGUGGACGCACCACUGGUGUUCGGGUUGUCAUGCCAAUGGCAUUGCCCGGUAGCUAAGUGCGGAAGAGAUAACCGCUGAAAGCAUCUAAGCGGGAAACUUGCCUUGAGAUGAGUCUUCCCUGAC